CUGACGGCAGUCGGCAUGCAGGCGGGUCU
rnacentral:sRNA from 1 species